CUACUCUGUCUGCACAGCUUCCCAGGCAACCACCACAGCAGGAAUGGUGUGAUACAAAAAAAAUCUGCCUUCCCAAGGCAAAGAAGGAGGAUAUGCUGUGAAGCCUGUGAAGACAAACCCAACAUACUGCUAUUUAGACAGGCUCCUGGAUCUCCUCUUCAGGUGGGUGAGGAGUGUGCCCUCGCCAGCAGCAAGGUCUACAGGAGAAAAACUAAGUGGACACCCCUUCAAAUGAGUGGAUUCAGUUAUUUCAGGCUCACCCAUUGCUGACAGGACAAUGACACAACACACCUCCAGGCUGUGUAAGGGCUAUUUGACCAAGAAGUAGAGUGAUGGAGUGCUGCAUAAGAUGACCUGGCCUCCACAAUCACCUGACCUCAACCCAAUUGAGAUGGUUUGGGAUGAGUUGGACCUCAGAGUGAAGGAGAAGCAGCCAAUAAGUGCUCAGCAUAUGUGGGAACUCCUUCAAGACUGUUGGAAAAGCAUUCCAGGUGAAGUUGGUUGAGAUAAUGCCAAGAAUGUGCAAAGCUAUCAAAGCAAAUUUUUUCUUUUUAACCCUUUUUUGUUUACUACAUGAUUCCAUAUGUGUUAUUUCAUAGAUUUGUUGUCUUCACAAUAAUUAUACAAUGUCGAAAAUAGUACAAAUAAAGAAAAACCCUUGAAUGGGUUGGUGUGUCCAAACUUUUGACUGGUACUUGUAUAUAUAUAUGUAUAUGUAUAUAUAGAAGAUUGUGGACUUCAGGAAACAGCAGAGAGAGCACCCCCCUAACCACAUCGACGGGACAGCAGUGGAGAAGGUGGAAAGUUUUAAGUUCCUUGGCGUACACGUCACGGACAAACUGAAAUGGUCCGACCACACAGACAGUGUGGUGAAGAAGGCCCUCAGGAGUCUGAGGAAA
ensembl:lncRNA